rnacentral:rRNA from 1 species
GACGAACGCUGGCGGCGUGCCUAAUACAUGCAAGUAGAACGCUGAAGAGAGGAGCUUGCUCUUCUUGGAUGAGUUGCGAACGGGUGAGUAACGCGUAGGUAACCUGCCUGGUAGCGGGGGAUAACUAUUGGAAACGAUAGCUAAUACCGCAUAAGAGUAGAUGUUGCAUGACAUUUGCUUAAAAGGUGCAAAUGCAUCACUACCAGAUGGACCUGCGUUGUAUUAGCUAGUUGGUGAGGUAACGGCUCACCAAGGCAACGAUACAUAGCCGACCUGAGAGGGUGAUCGGCCACACUGGGACUGAGACACGGCCCAGACUCCUACGGGAGGCAGCAGUAGGGAAUCUUCGGCAAUGGACGGAAGUCUGACCGAGCAACGCCGCGUGAGUGAAGAAGGUUUUCGGAUCGUAAAGCUCUGUUGUAAGAGAAGAACGAGUGUGAGAGUGGAAAGUUCACACUGUGACGGUAUCUUACCAGAAAGGGACGGCUAACUACGUGCCAGCAGCCGCGGUAAUACGUAGGUCCCGAGCGUUGUCCGGAUUUAUUGGGCGUAAAGCGAGCGCAGGCGGUUAGAUAAGUCUGAAGUUAAAGGCUGUGGCUUAACCAUAGUACGCUUUGGAAACUGUUUAACUUGAGUGCAAGAGGGGAGAGUGGAAUUCCAUGUGUAGCGGUGAAAUGCGUAGAUAUAUGGAGGAACACCGGUGGCGAAAGCGGCUCUCUGGCCUGUAACUGACGCUGAGGCUCGAAAGCGUGGGGAGCAAACAGG